UUGGGUCCAAAUUCGGGUUCUGUCCGCCUGGACCGAUAUUUAGACCCAUUAUUUUUGGGUUUUGACCCACUUCACUUGGUUCCUAUCCUAGAUUCUAUAAAUAGUAAUACAAAGAGGACAGGGUCUUAGGCCCAAAACGAGAAAAUACUUAAGGUACAAUGAAUAAAUAAAAUGGGCCCUGUUGACCCAUUCUCUUCAACUCUUCCACUUCGAGUUCUUCGAUCCCUCAUGCUAUUUCAGCUUCAGAAACUAUUCGUCUGUUCUUAUGGGUGGACUCAGGAUACUGAAUCUUGAACCUUUACGGCUCUUCCAAAAUUCAAGAGGAAUGAUUGGAGUACUUGAUGAACCCGGACAGAUUUCUCAUGCAAACAAAGGGAAGAGAAUUAGUGUACAAUUCAAUAAACAUGAAUGUAAAAGAAUAAAUUACUUCACUACAAAAUACACACCUACAAAAGAUUGUAUAAAUUUACAAGCAAUUGUUUCAAAAAUGACAUUUAAAGGAAAUGAUAAAUUUAAGGAGCUAUUAAGAAGGCCCAAUAGUCGCUACUUAAAGACAAUUAUCCUUUGAUCGCGGGUGAUGACAGAUGCUUACUAUUUGAAAUUAAAACAUGUAGAUAGAACUUAACAUAACUAGGCAUGAAGAAACACUUCUUAUAAAAAAACUGAACUAAAGGCAAUGAGAAAUAACCUUAUUUUUCAUAUGUUCUCCAAAAAAAGUAAUAACACUAUGAGUGAUACUCAUUCUCUUUCCAGUGAAAAAAAUGGGAAAAACCGAAACAAAUCAAUUCAUGCCCCUCAACAAAUGCAGAUUGUUGCCCACCAACUUGACUUUAAUGGAGAAAAAAUUAUAUCAAAAACGUAGGUCACGCUAGCCGACGAACAUCAACCUAUAGAACAUAUUUGAGAUAGGUUUGAACAAAAAAAAACACAAGAUUGAGAUGAGCCUACUCAAGGUGCUUCACCGAGAUGGCUCUAGAAGGACAUGACUGACCACUGAACUACCAAAUAUUCAUUGAAAACUAUAGAAAUUCAAAACGCAUAUUUUAAACUAAAAUCAGCCUACUCAAGGCAAGAUAUUCAUGAGGAACAAAAAGCUUAACUCUAUUUUUUAAAACCAUAUUGACUAUAUCAAAAAGAGAUAGCACAACUCAAAUAAUGAUUAACGCGGAAUGUGAUAAACUUGAACCAAUGUGGUGUAACAUGCUGCAGAGUUUUUCAAAACAGAGUACCUCAUACCGAAAACAUUAAAGUUUCAUAUAACUUAAAAGAACAUCACAAGCACAGAGAUGGAUUCUUUUAGGAACACACACAAAUAUUAAAAUAUAAAUAAUAUGAUGACAAACAACAGCAACACGGGCCUCGGAAUCAUUGGAGACACCGUUAGAAAUAUAAGAUAUACUUAACAUUAUAAAAAAGGUGAUGUUACCUUUAAGUGUGCAGCGAAACAGGGAUGGAAAUGAGUAAAAGAACGGUGACUUUGACACUACCAGAACUGCGACUUUGAGAGCUUAGAAGGACCAACUGUAGCAGAUGACACCAGAAACUGUAUCGCUCAGUUCUUCGUCGCUUUAAAAAAAUUCUCCCAGUCCCAAAGGCUUCUCUAACUCGAAAAUCUCCUCUCUUUUUUUUCUUUUAGCUUUUUUAAUUUAAAAAUAUCCAACUAAAGGAAAAAUUUCCGAAAUCCUCCUUACCUUUUACUUGCAGAAUUUCCGCCUUCACCAAAACAAAAACCUCUCUCUAGACAACCCAUCCAAGAAAAUAUAUAUAGGAUUCAGAUUUAGGGUUUUCUAAGAAGGAGGGAAAAAGGCAAAGUCGACCAUUCUAGCCCAUUCAAAAUUUGAAAAUUCUUUUUAGACGAGGACAAAACUUGCCUCUUCAUGAGAAAACCGGAUUUUUAGGAAAAAAAAUUAAAAUUUUAAAAGAACAUCGAUGGUUUUGAUUGAUCUCCUCUUGUCCUAGAGGCUCGAUGUGGCGCCUAUCCGCAUGAGACAAGGACGUUGUUGCAAGGACAGGAACGUAGACGACUCUGCCCUGCUGCAAUCGUACGAACAAUAACAAAAUCCUGGAAUCCGUUGCUAGUCUUUUUUUUCACACGCCUUUGAAGACGAAGAGGCACGCAGAGAGAGAUCGAGCAGUGAGGGAGACACGCGCAGUUGCUUUCCAUCACGUUAAGAGUGUCAGGUGCUCCUAAUGGUGUGGCUGCGUCUAGGUUACGCUGAUCUCUUGAUUAUGUUUCCCUUGCUUUGAAUCGAUCUGGGAGAAAAGGGAAAAGGGCCAGGUCGGUUAUAAAGGUUGGCUGGGUUAAAGAGCCAGAAAUAGAUUGGGUAUUUUUGCUGCUUUGAAUUUAAG
rnacentral:lncRNA from 1 species